CGUGUAGGCGGCUUUUUAAGUUGAUGGUGAAAUCUCCCGGCUCAACCGGGAGGGGUCUGUCAAUACUGGGAAGCUUGAGGACAGCAGAGGAGGGUAGAAUUCCCGGUGUAGCGGUGAAAUGCGUAGAUAUCGGGAGGAAUACCAGUGGCGAAGGCGGCCCUCUGGGCUGCUCCUGACGCUGAGGCGCUAAAGCGUGGGGAGCGAAGC
rnacentral:rRNA from 1 species